rnacentral:tRNA from 1 species
GGCCCCGUAGCUCAGCUGGAUAGAGCAACAGCCUUCUAAGCUGUGGGUCGCGUGUUCGAAUCACGCCGGGGUCACCA